AGGUGUGUAGCUCAGUUGGUAGAGUGCUUGUCUCCUAAGCUACAGGUCCUGGGUUCAAUCCCCAGUACUACAA
rfam:Ictidomys tridecemlineatus contig128664, whole genome shotgun sequence.